ACAGAAUCCUAGGAACACUCAGAGAAACCCUACUGGAUCAAGGAUAAAAACCACCCCUGAAGAGCAUCUGUGAAACUUAAGUCCUGCUCAGACAGGGCGGUGGAGGUCACUGACUGUUAAGGGGUGCGGGCAGGUGAAGCCACAGGCUCUGAUCCCGCAAGUAUAAGAACAAAGUGAUGACCAUAUGCAUCCACUUGGAAGCCCCAUGUGUUAUAUAUGGGCCAGAGCACAUCCUACUGUAGCAAGAAAGGACCAGGGAGUAGCUUUGAUGGACCAGGGUGUCCGGCACCCACCUGUACCUCACAAUUACCUGUAUCCUUGAAGUUACUAGUAAUGCUUGUUACUGGUCCAGCAGGGUAUUCCAGGAUGGAAUGGUACUCUCCUCCACGUGGUGACUCAAGGACUCAGGUUCUUCCAUCUGCCGGCUUCCCCAAGGGGUCCCUGUCAACAACUCAACCCCCUAAACUGUCUUCUGCACGGCACCAGAACUAUCUCCUUAAAACAUACUUUGAUCAUGACUCUUGCUCCUGAACUAUACAGAAUAUUUAGCAGAGAUUUCAGAUAAUAUGAAGGCUAUGUAAUAAUGUAGAGAAAUGUCUAUGAUAAGAGAAUAAGAUUAUGGGUGUUUUUUCUUUAAAAUGUUUUUUUCCUUAAUCAAAUCAGAAAAAAAGGAAAAUCAAAAUUAGCAACAAAAGAAAGUGAGAUUGUAAGAACACAUUGAAACAUCUUUUCAGCUUACAUUCUUCAAAAGUUGUCUUCUUUACCCUGUAAGACAUUAUAUAGCAAAGGGUCAAUUUAAAUCUCAGAAUUACUGUGCACUUUCCCUAUGCCUGGUGUCAUAUCUGGUGCUAUGACACAUGUAGAAGACAAGGUCCAUCCCUCUGUGUGUGGGUCUUAUAAGUGUUCAGAUUGUUGAACAGCAGAUUUCCACAGGUGACAGGUGAUGAGU